rnacentral:rRNA from 1 species
AUUGAACGCUGGCGGCAGGCCUAACACAUGCAAGUCGAGCGAGCGGCGGACGGGUGAGUAAUGUCUGGGAAACUGCCUGAUGGAGGGGGAUAACUACUGGAAACGGUAGCUAAUACCGCAUACCAUCAGAUGUGCCCAGAUGGGAUUAGCGUGGAGGUGGGGUAACGGCCCACCUAGGCGACGAUCCCUAGCUGGUCUGCGAGGAUGACCAGCCACACUGUAACUGAGACACGGACCCGACUCCUACGGGAGUCAGCAGUGGGGAUGAUUGCACAAUGGGCGCAAGCCUGAUGCUGCCAUGCCGCGUGUGUGAAGAAGGCCUUCGGGGUGUAAAGCACUUUCAGCGGGGAGGCGUUACCCGCAGAAGAAGCACCGGCUAACUCCGUGCCAGCAGCCGCGGUAAUAC